rnacentral:lncRNA from 1 species
CCGUCUGCAGACGCUGGCUCCACCAAGCCUCCGGCCGUAAGUUCCUCCGCCGCUUCCGCGAGCUCCACCCACCCCGCCUCCUCGGCUUCUACGUCUUCGAAGUGGAUUGGACAGUGCCUCCGACCGCCCCUCGCUUCGUCCCUUUGCUGCCUCAGACCCCAGAGCUCGCCGGCGUCAUAAGCCGCGCGACUUCAAUCUUGAACACCGACUACAGCGCAUCAAUCCGCAUCUUUGACUGCCGGAACGGCAGCAUGCUCAUCAGCCGAGACGACGACGAUGGCGGAUACAUAUUUGGAGUGCACAGCCUUCUUUUCCCUGAGAGGCAUGGACAUCAUCCCACCUUUCCCAUGCGACCAACAUCGCUCUGGUUUUUACAAUGCAAUCCUGUCGACAGAAGAAGGCCACGGUUUGUCCUACUUUUACGUGCUGAUGCUGUAUACUGCAGAGAGGAAACAUGAGGUGCGAGUAUAUAUGUUGCGAGAUGGUGUCUGGUGCAUGCAUAGCUUAAUCAUUGACCAGAUCCCUCAUCCGCGGUCAGAUCGAAAAGCUGUGCUUGUCAACAAUAAAAUCUAUGUGCCAGCUGCCGAGAGAGAAAUUGUUGUCUUGGAUUUAGCGGCCUCGAGGCUCUCAACAGUUCAUCUACCACAAGGGGUUGAGCAUGGCCUCGAAAACACCAUGCUGUCACGGGCUGACAGUGCUUCUGGUGUAUACCUCAUCCAUGUCGAAGAGCUUCAACUUCAUGUCUGGCUCCACAAGGGGAAUGUAUGGUUGCUGGUGGACACCAUUUGUUUGUCUGAGAUGUGUCCUAGUUUGAGGGAUUGCAUUGUUUCUCCUCGAAUGAAACAUGUGGGGGACAAUGCUGAGUUUGUGGUCUUGGAUUUGGGUCACAACGCACUCCACUUGGAUAUCAAGUGCAUGACACUGUCUAAAGUGUAUGAGGUGAGAGAUAUGUAUAAACAUAUUGGUGGCAUCUAUCCUUUGAUGAUGAUUUGGCCUCCAACAUUCCGUGCGCUCAAGGGUGAUCUUGCAAGGUUUGCCUUGUGGCCCUCUAUAUGAUUUUUUUUUGAGUGAAGGCCAAAUAUGAUUUGCAUAGUGCUCUUGUUGAGGUUACAAAUCUUUGUAAUGUGCAUCAUGUUAAUAUCCUUUUCUAUGUUGUGGCAUGGUUUGGCCAUGUUCUUUAAAGUAGCUUUGGUCAAUUAGUGUGUCAUCCCAUCACAAUCGAGGAAACAAUUGCCAUUUCAUUUCUCCAUUGUUUUUGUUAAUGGUUCAGCAACCAUCCCACCAUUUAGUAUAUUCGCGGAAUGGUGGUAGAUAUAUAUGAUUGAUUCUUUAGGCCAUUUUACAUAUAUUUGUUAAGUGCCAUUUAAGAUGCUUUUCAUACCCUUAAGAUGGUUUUUAAACAGUAUCAUUUUGUAUGUGAGUAGUUGUUUUCUUGGGUUAGUGUAGCAGAGAAACUUCCGUAAUACGAGUGUUGCACCAGAGGAGAAUGGUGCCCUUUUAUGUGUGGGUGAGUGGUCAACGAGUUGAGGAUGAUAUUGUCGAUAUUCUAAGGGAAAUUAGAGAUGGUGAGGUUAUUCAUUGGAAGAAUCGAAAUUAAUUUCUUGCAUCUGCACUUUUCCUAUUCAUAAUAGAUUGUAUGAACUCGAGUUAUUCUGCAUGAGAUUGUUAACACUUAUUUCUAAUAGAAUGUUUUUGUGAUAUCGAAUCAGUUCUCCAUUUCUCUAUGGUGAAGCAUGCUGUUGCUCACACGGAUUUUAACUUUGGAUUAUGUAGUUUACACCGGCACAUAUGUGCUGGUUCAUGUUUUCAGAUUCAGAUACUAUCACAAUCAAGAUACUUUCGUCCUGCACACCAAGGGUAUACUCCAGUCUGAAAACACAGUUCUUGUGUGACCUGCUUUACCUUCCAUGAGCAGUAUUUGUUUCACUGUUCGGGCCAUCCAAAGAAAAAUUUGUUGGUUUGGGAUAGCAGAGCCUUUUAAUUAUCUGCAUUGCUUGAGCAAUUGUAUCAUUAUGCGCCGCACAAAAUUUGGCUGCUGUCGUACUACUACUUGUUUUGUCGAUUUUCAUUAUCUUGUGGUACAUAGUUACGUCCAUCCUGAUCAAUGCCUUUUCUGUUUUCCCUUUUUUGGAACAGAGAUGGCAUGUGAAGAACAGCCGUAUCAAGGAUGAGAAGGGAGUUGCUGGGUGGUAUCUACAUAUGUCAGUGAGAAUGUGAUCAUCAAGGAUGAGCUGAGCUACAUUUCCUGGUUACAUCAAUCACCUGGUCCAUCUUUUGACCUUCGGGCUUAAGUAGGGCAGUACAUUGGGUUAGUUAGUUUGUUCUUGCUUAAAUUGGAGACUCCUAAAGAGUCACACCCUGUGUUCAACUGCAAAAACAUUUUACAUUUAGGAACAGAGGUAGUAGUUCAGUGCCUUAUAUUCUUUUCUUUUGGAGUAAAAGUUGCUGCCUGUCUUGACGCUACUUGUCCUCCCAUUUAAAAUAAACUUCAACCGAAGGAAUCAAUUGACUGAAUUAUGC